GAGUACAUAAUAAAAUUCAUUGAUUUCACUGUGAUCAAUUAUUUCAAAGUUGCUUACGAUAUUGCUCCCCGUAUUCUGGUUAAUAUUAAGGUUAAUGUGUUGUCCUGGUUGCGGCAACAAUUCCGGCUCAGUCUCGGAAUCAAACACGUACUGUGAUGAUUGCUUAUCAAAGCAAAACAUAACACGCUUGAUAACAGGUUAUUUCAAUCGUGGUUAUCCGUAUGGGGCAAUCGUCAGACUUUUGCAAACCUCCGGUAUUCUGAUGUCUAUACGGACGUUGAAGCGCCGCUUCAGAUCUUUGGGCUUAAGACGAAAAGGACAAGUCUGGACGACUGUCUGGCUAUCGAAGUAUUUGGCAUGCAUUAAGACUUCGUCAUGGUAUAAAUGUGAGUCGUCACGUAGUAGCCAGAAUUAUGAAGGAAAUCGACCCAGAUGGCGUGGAAACAAGAAAGGCCAGACGAUUACAUGGUAGGGUAUAUAAAAGCCUAGGAGCAAACGCUUGCUGGCACCUCGACGGUAAGAUUACAUUAAUGUAGUUUCUAUGAACCUAGAAGUAACAAAUACCCCCGACAAGAACUUGCACUUAUGCAUUGGAGGGAUUAUCUGCAAGAUUGCGAAGCUGGACGAUGUGGUGCUACUUUGGGAGAUGUACUAAUCUUUGCAACAGGAAGUGAUGACAUCCCACCUCUUGGCUUUACACCAAUGCCUUCACUAUGCUUUUGGGAAGAUGUUCAUCCAAGAUCAAACACGUGUGAUACCACACUUUAUCUCCCUCUAUUCCCUGGUUCAAAGGAUGAAGUGCAAUAUGAUACUUUUAAAGAAAAAAUGGAUGAUGGAAUUUUAAAUUCUCCUUUGGGGAUUCCAUAAAGUUUUUUAGCAGUUUUUUGUAACAAGUACAUAUUCAAUUAGUUCAAAGUUCUUAUAACGUGUUUAUAACAUCAAAUUUUAAGUUUAGUGGCAGAAUGCUACGUUUUAGCAUAAUGGUAUUCAACAAUUUACAACAAA